rnacentral:rRNA from 1 species
UACAGAGGUCCCAAGCGUUGUUCGGAUUCACUGGGCGUAAAGGGUGCGUAGGUGGUGAGGUAAGUCGGAUGUGAAAUCUCCGAGCUCAACUCGGAAACUGCAUUGGAAACUACCUUGCUCGAGGGUUGGAGGGGGGACUGGAAUGCUUGGUGUAGCAGUGAAAUGCGUAGAUAUCAGGAGGAACACCGAUGGCGAAGGCAGGUCUCUGGGCUGACACUGACGCUCAUGCACGAAAGCGUGGGGAGCAAACAGG